rnacentral:rRNA from 1 species
UACAGAGGGUGCGAGCGUUAAUCGGAAUUACUGGGCGUAAAGCGUGCGUAGACGGUAGCGUAAGUCAGAUGUGAAAGCCCCGGGCUCAACCUGGGAAUUGCAUUUGAGACUGCUCUGCUCGGGCGCGGAAGAGGGAAGCGGAAUUUCCGGUGUAGCGGUGAAAUGCGUAGAUAUCGGAAGGAACACCAGUGGCGAAAGCGGCUUCCUGGUCCGACACCGACGUUCAGGCACGAAAGCGUGGGGAGCAAACAGG